CCUACGGGAGGCAGCAGUGAGGAAUAUUGGUCAAUGGACGAGAGUCUGAACCAGCCAAGUAGCGUGAAGGAUGACUGCCCUAUGGGUUGUAAACUUCUUUUAUAUGGGAAUAAAAUGUUCCACGUGUGGGAUUUUGUAUGUCCCAUAUGAAUAAGGCUCGGCUAACUCCGUGCCAGCAGCCGCGGUAAUACGGAGGAUCCGAGCGUUAUCCGGAUUUAUUGGGUUUAAAGGGAGCGUAGGUGGAUUGUUAAGUCAGUUGUGAAAGUUUGCGGCUCAACCGUAAAAUUGCAGUUGAAACUGGCAGUCUUGAGUACAGUAGAGGUGGGCGGAAUUCGUGGUGUAGCGGUGAAAUGCUUAGAUAUCACGAAGAACUCCGAUUGCGAAGGCAGUUCACUGGACUGCAACUGACACUGAGGCUCGAAAGUGUGGGUAUCAAACAGGAUUAGAUACCCGAGUAGUC
rnacentral:rRNA from 1 species